rnacentral:sRNA from 1 species
UUGAAUCUGGUAUCAAGUGUCACUCUCUCCAAGUCCGCAUCGGAGGCUUCUCCACAGAGCUUACCUCAUACUCCAACGACCCCAACCGCCCCCCUGACUCCCGUCACCCAAGGCCCCUCUGUCAUCACCACCACCAGCAUGCACACGGUGGGACCCAUCCGCAGGCGGUACUCAGACAAAUACAACGUGCCCAUUUCGUCAGAUAUUGCGCAGAACCAAGAAUUUUAUAAGAACGCAGAAGUUAGACCACCAUUUACAUAUGCAUCUUUAAUUAGGCAGGCCAUUCUCGAAUCUCCAGAAAAGCAGCUAACACUAAAUGAAAUCUAUAACUGGUUCACACGAAUGUUUGCUUACUUCCGACGCAACGCAGCCACAUGGAAGAAUGCAGUGCGUCAUAAUCUUAGUCUUCACAAGUGUUUUGUGCGAGUAGAAAACGUUAAAGGGGCAGUAUGGACAGUGGAUGAAGUAGAAUUCCAAAAACGAAGGCCACAAAAGAUCAGUGGUAACCCUUCCCUUAUUAAAAACAUGCAGAGCAGCCACGCCUACUGCACACCUCUCAAUGCAGCUUUACAGAACUGUUCAGGUUUCAUCUCUGAACACUUGUUUUUGGCAUCUUCUUCAGUAGCCCAAAACUGUCCUGCCGUUUUCCAAGAACACUUUCCGUCCGUAAUGAGGCAAGGGGAAUAAAUUGAUAUAAAUUCAUGAUUUGAGAAGUGGAUUGUUUCCCUCUCUUCUACGAGUUUGGAUCCCUGAUCAGUAGACAGACACAUAAGACAA